rnacentral:rRNA from 1 species
CGCGCAGGCGGUCGUUCAAGUCGAGUGUGAAAGCCCCCGGCUCAACUGGGGAGGGUCAUUCGAUACUGAUCGACUCGAAGGCAGGAGAGGGAAGCGGAAUUCCCGGUGUAGUGGUGAAAUGCGUAGAUAUCGGGAGGAACACCAGUGGCGAAGGCGGCUUCCUGGCCUGUUCUUGACGCUGAGGCGCGAAAGCUAGGGGAGCAAACGG